CGGGGUAUAGCUCAAUUGGUAGAGCGCUUGGUUUGGGACCAAGAGGUUUUCGGUUCAAGCCCGAAUACCCCGA
rnacentral:tRNA from 1 species